UACGUAGGUGGCAAGCGUUGUCCGGAUUUACUGGGCGUAAAGAGCGCGCAGGCGGUCGGAUAAGUCGAAUGUGAAAGCCCCCGGCUCAACUGGGGAGGGUCAUUCGAUACUGAUCGACUCGAAGGCAGGAGAGGGUAGUGGAAUUCCCGGUGUAGUGGUGAAAUGCGUAGAUAUCGGGAGGAACACCAGUGGCGAAGGCGACUACCUGGCCUGUUCUUGACGCUGAGGCGCGAAAGCUAGGGGAGCAACAGGGG
rnacentral:rRNA from 1 species